AACGAACGCUGGCGGCAGGCUUAACACAUGCAAGUCGAGCGCCCCGCAAGGGGAGCGGCAGACGGGUGAGUAACGCGUGGGAACAUACCCUUUGGUUCGGAAUAACUCAGGGAAACUUGAGCUAAUACCGGAUACGUCCGUAAGGAGGAAGAUUUAUCGCCAAAGGAUUGGCCCGCGUCCGAUUAGCUAGUUGGUGAGGUAACGGCUCACCAAGGCUACGAUCGGUAGCUGGUCUGAGAGGAUGAUCAGCCACAUUGGGACUGAGACACGGCCCAAACUCCUACGGGAGGCAGCAGUGGGGAAUAUUGGACAAUGGGCGAAAGCCUGAUCCAGCCAUGCCGCGUGUGUGAAGAAGGUCUUCGGAUUGUAAAGCACUUUAAGUUGGGAGGAAGGGUAGUAACCUAAUACGUUGCUACUUUGACGUUACGACAGAAUAAGCACCGGCUAACUUCGUGCCAGCAGCCGCGGUAAAGUGACU
rnacentral:rRNA from 1 species